rnacentral:misc_RNA from 1 species
UCUUUCGGCCACGCCAUUUUGGGACGAGAUAUCCACAUAGGAAGACUGAUGAAAAAUGCCAUUUUGUGUCAUAUAAGAUUGAAAGGUUGUAGAAAAGUUUUCUUUGGCAUUAUCACUUCUUAAUGUACAUAUGAAAACAUUAAAUUGUGUUUUUGUUUUAGCACAAAAAGCACAAAAGAUAGAAAACAAUUCAGAAUGACUUUUCAUUAAAUAUAACUAAGUCACAGGAGAUUAAUUAUCAACAAAAGUGACAAAGUACUUAAAUCUAGUUUUGGACACAAUAGGAUAAGGACCCUAGACAUCAAAAUGAUCCAAUUCAGAGGGAACAUAGCCUAUUUAUUGACUCUAGAUACUUUAGGAAGAUGAUGAUAUUUAGCAAACUGACAUGACUUAUAAUCUAAUGAAGAAAUGUUUUGAAAUUGAGGGCUCAUUUUCUAUAAGGAAGAUAGAGAAUGAUGUCCCUGUCUAUAGUGUACUUCUAAAGGAGUCAAAGCACUAGAACAAGCAAUAGACCUCGUCACCAUUGUAUCCAGGAUGUAGAGACCAUCGAACUAAUGACCUCUUUACCAAUAAUUUGUUUCGUUGUAAGAUUCUGAAAUAAACAAUGAUUAGGAACGAAUGAGACAACACAAUUCAAUGCUCAGGUGAGUUUGCCAACAAAAUUUAAUUAAAAGAAACCUCAAGUAGACUCAACGUAGAAGACAAAGAAAUUGAAGUUGGAUUUAUAGUUCUAGUCCAACAUGAUUGGACCAAGCAUAUAGAGAUCGUUCAACACUUCAUAAAAGAGAAAAUAGUAGAUGGAAUUUUUGAGUCUCUCUCAUGUGUCUUCAAAAGAACAGUUAGCCAACGUGUUUACUAAGGACUUCAGCGGUACUUUGUUUCAUGCUGUAGUUUGCAAAUUGGGCAUGUGGGAUAUACAUGAACCGACUGGACAGGGAGUGUUGGAAUCCCUGAUUUGUUGUAGUAGCAAAUUAUUAGGAUCUUAUUUGAUUAUUU